AAUCCUGCACCAAUUAGACAAUAUAUAGCAUUAAGGAUAUAACAAGCUUUCUUCAUUUAGUUAAAUUGUUUCUGUUUAAUCUGCUUCGGCAAUUCUUGUGAACAAUUUUGCUCAUAGAAUUACUCAUUGUAGAACAUCAAUGGUUGUAUAUUUUUACUGUAUUCCAACUCGUUUAGAUAAAUGAUUUAUUUAUCACAGAAGACUGGUAUAGUAUCGGAACAUAGGGAUUAUAUCGACGUCAUUGAAUAAUAUACUAGAAAGUUAGAAAUCAAUUGUUAUCCUCGAUUAGGGUUUCUGAGGCCGUGAGCUCCAUAAAUACCCGACGAAAGCCUCCCUCCUAUUGUUCCGGAAAGCGCAGCGGCUCGAAGCGCGAGAGAGAGGGUUCGGAGAUCGGAGAAGGUUCGAGAGCGUCACCUCGACAAUAAGAGCAAAGGUCCUUAAGGGAUCAUAUGAGAUUUCAGAGAGGUUGACCCUUGGCAGACGAACACGCAAAGGUACGUAUAAACAAAAUAGAGACGGACAAGGAUAACCCUAAAUAAAUAGGAAGAAAAACUGAAUCAAACGAUAAGACCCCGUUGAAUAGACUUAAGGAACAGUGAAUUGGACCAAACCGUCCAAAAAAUUAGACGACCCAAGUGUCAGUUCAAGCUUGGACUAACAAAUACCCACUGCUACAUACCGAUCCCAUCAAAAUUCUAGUCCUUUAAAUGUAAUAUGAAGAACCGCCAAAGCCCCAGGCCAUUGAUCGGACCAAUGCAUCACUAGUCGGGCCACAAAUCUAACGUAAAUCCGUUUAGAACCAUGGGAAAUUGUUAAUCAUUAAAAUAACAGAAAAAAUACUAAUAGAGAAUAUUCAUCUUCCCAUCAUAUAAAAGAAUAGCCCGAUUGAUCAUCCAACAUAAUAAUAAACGAACCCUGAAAGAAAAGUUAAGAACAAAGAGAUGAACAGCGAUAGACAACACAUGUAUCUAAAGGAAAUCAAGGAAUCAAGAGCGACGGCCGGAGAAAGGAGGCAAUGCAAAUAAAGAUGUAAAAUUGGAGGAAGAUGAAGAGGGAAGGCGGAGAUGGGAACUGACUUCGAGGGAGGAGGUCGGCCGAGAAAGUCCGUGGCCGGGAGAGAGCGUGUGCCAGUCGCAGUUUUUGAAGCCGCGACAAUAGUGGAGCAGCCCAGAUGCGGAAUCGAUGACGACGAGCUCUACCGGAGCGGUGGCGGCGGAGGGGAAUCCUGAAGCACUUCGGACUCGGGAGGAUGAGGGUUGUGUGGGGCGGGUCUGGUUUCUUUUUGCUUCCAUUUGUUUGUUGUCGAGCGUGACCGCCCGAUGCAACCACGAGAUCUCCAUGUUGUGUGGCCAGGAUUUCAGUUACCGGAUGCGUAGCAUCACUUACAACCUGUAUAAAGCUUUAGUACCCUUUUCCCCAAAACACGUUUUUACUGUCAACAUCAUGCCAUACUCACGUUGCUUCUGCACUCGUAUGGGAAGUAGUAAAAGGGUCUGCUACCAACCUGCCGAAUAACUGUAACAAAAAAGCGACAGCCAUUUGGUGAAAUCAAA